UCUAGUCUGGCUUGAACUGAUCAGGGCUCCUCCAUUCAUAGCUGACCAUGAGGUUCCCUGCUCAGCUCCUGGGGCUCCUCCUGCUCUGUGUCCCAGGAUCCAGUGUUGGCCACCGUGCUGACCCAGACUCCACUCUCCCUGUCAGUCAGCCCUGGAGAGCCGGCGUCUAUCUCCCGCAGGUCCACUCAGAGCCUCCAAGGUAGUUAUGGAAACAAAUAUUUGAGUUGGUACCAGCAGAAACCAAGACAGUCGCCACAGCUCCUGAUAUUUUAUGCUUCCAACAAGUCUUCUGGGGUCCCAGACAGGUACAGUGGCAUUGGGUCAGGGACAGAUUUCCCCCUGAAAAUCAGCAGGGUGGAGGCUAAGGAUGCAGGAGUUUAUUACUGCCAGCAACAUAAAGAAUCUCCUCCCACAGUGAUACAGCCCUGAACACAAACUCCUCUCCUGGGCGCCCAGCUGCACACAUGUGUGUGCUGUCUGGGGAGCAGAGGGGCAGAAGCUCUGAGUCUGUGUAAGAGGAAGAAGUGGGAGAACCAGGGGCAGAGGGUGCAGCUGAGGACCGUGGACCAGCGCUGCCUCAGCUCCUCCUCAGACACCGCAUGUUAAGUCCCGUCAGCUUCCCAGCCUUGGCAUGAUACCCCCUUAGAAACAGGCCAGUGAGAGAAAUUGGCCUGGCCUAUGGGACAACCAAAACUCAGCUGAAUUCCCCUUUUGCAGCCCAGGUGUUCUGCCCAUACCAAGUCAGAACUUUAUCGGAUGCAAUCUUGGAAAUAGUAAAGAGUAGCUUACUGUCAGGUAAAAAAAUAAAAGUAGUACAAUGAAAAGCAGAUCUUUAAUUUAGAAUUUUAGGCUAUAGUAUUCUAUUUUCCAUUAAACUCUAAUGCGGUGAAAAUACAAAGUCUCCAAUUUA